GCACACCUUGUUUUAAGUAACAAGAUGAGCUUUCUGAAAACUGGAAGUGGACUUCCCAUAAUUUCCACUGCUGAAUUGCAGUAGCACAUGGCCGAUUCUCCUGGGAGUGGGACGGAUGUCUUCGGCUGGUCAAAGUUGCCCAACCUCUUUCUCCCAUCUUGUUCCAUCAUGUGAUGCCCAGCAUAUGUUCGAAAUGUUAGUAAGUUCAUCUCACAGCGUCAGAGCUCUUUUGUGGGAUGUGGAAGUAACAGCCACAGUGAAAAGGAAAUGACCUAAAUGCACCAUAACCAGCUUGCCUUGCAAGCCACCAAAGGACCACUAGGUGGGGGACCAUGUCUGUUACGGGCGCCUUGCUCUUAAAUACCUGCCCAAGCGGCCGGUAUCUGAGUCUGGCCACAACACCGCUUCCAGGAGGUGUAGUCCCCCCCAAAAAAGUAACUUCUCCCAGUUCUGGAAUUCAAUCCCAGCAGUGGUAAUGUCUCUUCUGUGCUGUGUCUGUCCACCACAGGAAGUGAUAGAAGAGGAGCCAUCCGGGUCAUUCUCCAUUACGAUCCUUCACCAGGCCAUGAUCACAGUCACUUGCAUGACUCCCUUGAAGCCCCCGCUGGACUCAGAGGUGAGAUCUGAGCUGGUGAGUAAAAGCGUCAAGAAAGUGUUCUCUCUGCCAUCCCUGAAAGUGACGAAGCUAAAAGCAGGCAUGCCCAUGCAUCCGAUCCAGACACAGGAUUUUUACCACCAGACGGUCGUGGCCUGCCACAACAUGCUCACCGGGUUGCUGUCGGAGGCCCCCAAUUUGGAGUCGCUGCAGGACAUCUUGAUACACACAAACAUCUGGAUAGACUCCCCAAAGAACUACGAGCGGGAAAGGGCUAUUAGGGGCACGAGUCACCUCCUGAAGUUUGCCUCGGAACACUUGGAAUUUGAUGUGAGUGAAAGCCUGAGGUGACACACGCACACACACGUGCAUGCGCUUGCACGCGCACAUGCAC
rnacentral:lncRNA from 1 species